rnacentral:rRNA from 1 species
GUCCUGGCAGUAAACGGUGCGCGUUUGGUGUGGGAGGAUUCGACCCCUUCUGUGCCGGAGCUAACGCGUUAAACGCGCCGCCUGGGGAGUACGGUCGCAAGAUUAAAACUCAAAGAAAUUGACGGGGGCCCGCACAAGCGGUGGAGUAUGUGGCUUAAUUCGAUGCAACGCGAAGAACCUUACCUGGGCUUGACAUGCCUCUCUAAGUCGGUGAAAGCCGGCGAGUGUAGCAAUACACAAUUGGCACAGGUGCUGCAUGGCUGUCGU